GGCUCGGGACCUCGGGUCCCCGGCCGGUGGCUGCGUGGGAAGCGGCUCAACUCGGUGCACUUGUUCACUCUUUCUUCAUUGGAGGAGGAGCCAGUGUUGCAACCUUCAUGUUCCUUGCUGGAGGCAAAACAGUGAUUUUCUGCAGCAGGCGAAAUGUCCAGGGCCUGCCAGUUUUACGAGCUUCCCUGCUGGAUGGCCUCCCUCUCACCAGCCUCGUCCGUGUGAAACUCAAAUGUUUCCCUGCUGAAUCUGAUUAGAUUAGAUUGAAGUUAAAGGUCUUUGCUCCUGCUGAUCUUACUGGUUUUGGGAGUAGUAGUUCAAUAAAUCUUUACAGUGUGUUUGAAUCCCA
rnacentral:lncRNA from 1 species